GCUGCUGUGGCGCAAUGGCUUACGCGCUUGAUUGGUGUGCUAAAGGUCAGGGGUUCGAAUCCGUAUUGAAGAA